GACAGAGGCCUCAAGCGUUUAGGCGGAAUCACUGGGCUUAAAGCGUGUGUAGGCGGAUCGUUAAGUGUCUUGUGAAAUCCCACGGCUCACCCGUGGAACUGCUGGGCAUACUGGCGAUCUUGGGCCAACUAGGGGCAGCCGGAACAAGCGGUGGAGCGGUGAAAUGCGUAGAUAUCGCUUGGAACGCCGAAGGUGAAGACAGGCUGCUGGGGUUGUGCCGACGCUGAGACACGAAAGCCAGGGGAGCAAACGGG
rnacentral:rRNA from 1 species